UACGUAGGUGGCGAGCGUUAAUCGGAAUUAUUGGGCGUAAAGAGCUCGUAGGCGGUCUGUCACGUCGGCUGUGAAAUCCCGAGGCUCAACCUCGGGUCUGCAGUCGAUACGGGCAAACUAGAGUAUUGCAGGGGAGACUGGAAUUCCUGGUGUAGCGGUGAAAUGCGCAGAUAUCAGGAGGAACACCGGUGGCGAAGGCGGGUCUCUGGGCAAUAACUGACGCUGAGGAGCGAAAGCGUGGGGAGCGAACAGG
rnacentral:rRNA from 1 species